rnacentral:rRNA from 1 species
UACGUAGGGUGCAAGCGUUGUCCGGAAUUAUUGGGCGUAAAGAGCUCGUAGGCGGUUUGUCGCGUCUGCUGUGAAAACUCGGGGCUUAACUCCGGGCCUGCAGUGGGUACGGGCAGACUAGAGUGCGGUAGGGGAGACUGGAAUUCUCGGUGUAGCGGUGAAAUGCGUAGAUAUCGAGAGGAACACCUGCGGCGAAGGCGGGUUGCUGGGCUGACACUGACGCUGAGGCGCGAAAGCUAGGGGAGCGAACGGG